rnacentral:misc_RNA from 1 species
AUUGUAACUGAUAAGAUUAUAGAGUAAAAUUACAGAGAAAAUAAAGGAGUGAAGAAAGGAAGGAAAUCACGUGUCAAGGUUGGGAUACUUGUGUAUCUGCUUGACUUAAAAAUUGAGGGAAAGUAAGGAAUUUUGGAAAUAUUUUAAAAUGUAGCGAAUAAAGGAAAUUAUCAAAAAUAAAGAUGUAUAUAUAGGUAUUAUCCAAAAAAAA